UGGCGGCGUGCCUAUACAUGCAAGUCGAGCGAAUCUGAGGGAGCUUGCUCCCAACGAUUAGCGGCGGACGGGUGAGUAACACGUGGGUAACCUGCCUGUAAGAUUGGGAUAACUCCGGGAAACCGGAGCUAAUACCGGAUAACAUUUCGAACCGCAUGGUUCGAAAUUGAAAGACGGCUUUUAGCUGUCACUUACAGAUGGACCCGCGGCGCAUUAGCUAGUUGGUGAGGUAACGGCUCACCAAGGCAACGAUGCGUAGCCAACCUGAGAGGGUGAUCGGCCACACUGGGACUGAGACACGGCCCAAACUCCUACGGGAGGCAGCAGUAGGGAAUCUUCCGCAAUGGACGAAAGUCUGACGGAGCAACGCCGCGUGAACGAUGAAGGCCUUCGGGUCGUAAAGUUCUGUUGUUAGGGAAGAACAAGUACCAAAGUAACUGCUGGUACCUUGACGGUACCUAACCAGAAAGCCACGGCUAACUACGUGCCAGCAGCCGCGGUAAUACGUAGGUGGCAAGCGUUGUCCGGAAUUAUUGGGCGUAAAGCGCGCGCAGGCGGUUUCUUAAGUCUGAUGUGAAAGCCCACGGCUCAACCGUGGAGGGUCAUUGGAAACUGGGGAACUUGAGUGCAGAAAAGGAGAGU
rnacentral:rRNA from 1 species